GCUCAUUUCAUUUUUUACUUUCUCUCUUGCUUUCAUUCCAAUGCUAUUCCUAUUCUGGGAAUGGCUUCCAAUAACAAUAAGCUUCUUGUGUCUCCUCCUUGCAUAUUUUUCUCUUGUUGAUUUCGUUAUGCUUGCUUAAUGCGAUGUUAUCUAUGCUUUUCUCAUUUUUUGUAUUUUAUUUUUCUAUUCUUCUCCUUUUGGCGCGCUGUUCUAAUUUUUUCUUAUUUUUGCUCUUGUGUUGUUGUUUAGUUUUUCAUUGGGUUCUUUUGGCUUUCUAGUGUCCCUCUCUCUGUGCCUGAGUAGAUGAUGAUUCUAAGUUUUCUAAGGAGAAUAUUUCUAGUGAUAGUGAUAUUGUUAACAACAAUUCUUAGGCGAGUUAUAUAAGAGAACUGUCUUUUAAAGGACAUUAUGAGGUGAUAGACGUGAGUGACAGUGAUGUUGUCUUUUUGAGGUCUAGCACUGCCAUAGCAUUAACCCCAUUGAGGUAGUGACAACUUGUUACUUGUGCCAGCAUCUCUGUCAGUGUGUCCGAUAAUCCCAGCAACGAGUUAGAGGAAGUGGCUGCCAAUUCUAACACCAGCCUAAUUUCCUCCCAACUUACUGUCAUUUAAAUGGUAGAGAGCCAGAAUAGUUAUGGCUUUCCUCUGGGUUGCUCCUUGUCCUUGCUUGGAGAUCAGAGAGCUGACAAUAUCUUAAGAGAUAGUGAAAUCACGAUUUAUGAGAAGACUCUUCGCGCUGGUCUCCAUUUCCUAUUGAUCCAAUUCUUAGUGGAUCUACUGAAGCUUUAUAACAUUCGUAUCAUCCAACUAACUCCCAACAGUGGAUGUUCGUAUGCUCUUUCAGUCGGAUCUGUUUCAGGCUGGGUUUUGAGCUUGACGUCAAUGUUUUUCAACACAUAUGGCUUCUUAGUAAGAAAGACGAAAUUUUCACUUCUUUGGUUGCCCUAGUAGGAUGUUGUUUCGUUCUCUACCCAAGUCCCAUCAUUUCUGGAAAGAUCGAUACUUCAUUCUGACUAAUCCCGUAGGUUGGAGUGAUCUCCCUAGGCAUUGGAAUUACAAUGCGUUCUAAGAAGAUAGUGGUGUUGGUUAGGUAUGGUGGGAGAGCAUAAAAUUAACAUGCUUAGGUUGUACACCUUGGACGGCGAGUAUGAUUAUUUUGCCUUGAUGUCAUAGGUGGAAAGCGUUGAUGUUUCGUUCUUAUUUUACUUUUCUGACCUUAUUCCUUCUCAUUUUGUAGAGAAUAAUCCUUGGAAGCUCAUGAUUAAGAAAAUGAAGAAGAAAGCUGUGGGCAAAGGUUGCCUUCUCUUGAUCUCCCUGUUGACCCUUGGGGUUUGGACGUUAGCGACCGACCCUGAUCUCCUGUUACUGAAGAUCUGCCUACGGUGAUCUCGACCCGUUCCUUUAAGCAUGCUCAUUCUGAGACUCCACCUUCAGAUCUACCUCCUUAGACAAGAAUUUGCCCUUCAGUCUCUAGUGCUAUCAAAGAGUUCCACUUGAGUUUGAUUGUUAAGCAUUCGGCUUUUGACGCUGUCUCCGUUCGUAAAGAAGAUCUUACUUACCUUACACAAGUUCUAGGAGAUCGAGUUCACUCUUAAUCCACGAAGAUAACGACCAAAGAGGCUUGAGGAAAUAGGCUAUUCUGCAGUUGAUGGAGGAAAAACACGACCAGUAGACUGAGAUUGAUCACUUAAAGGUGAAUCAGAAUAGCACUUUGGACUCCAAGCUCAAGAAAUUGAGACUGGUUGAGGAUUGUUUGUUAAAUCUUCGUAAAGAGCUAAAAGAAAAGGACAAUUAAUUGCCUCAUUGCAGGAGUUGCACGAGUUAGAGCUCGUUGAUCUCCGUUCACAAUUGAUGGGUUAAUGGAAGAGUCCCUUGGCAUUUUUUAUGACAGGAAGGCUCGUGUGGUGAUUGAGCUUCGCAGGUUGCAUCUCAACAUGGAUCUGUCAUUCCUUGACCUGAUCAUUCCUGAUGCUCUAGAGACUGAACUAGCUAUAGGCGGAGAUGUGGAUGCGCCAUAUGAUGUGGAGAAUCGAGAGGUGUCCUUUGUGGAUGAUCCCGUGGAUGAUUCCUUCCCCAUUUGCUCGAUCUCUAUUUUAUUUUUACCUUUUUUUAUGUAUUGUGGUAUGUUGGCCUUCUGCAUUUUCUUAGCCUAUUGAAUAGUUAUAAAUUCUGUUAUGUUUAGGUUUCCAUGACUUUGAAGAUCUUGUAAGACGAUAAUUUGUGUAUGACAAUAAACAUUUGCAUCA